CUUACUCAACUUUCAUUUUAUGUAUACAGUAUUAAGAAUUUAUAUGAAUUGAAUACAGUUCAUUAUCAAACAUUUUAUCAAAUCCAUUUCAUCCACUUUCUUCAUUCUUUAUUCCUUAUUUUCUUAAUCUUGUUCUUCCGUUGCAUAGUUAUCUCUCUAUCUAUCGCUCUCUCUCUCUCUCUCUAUUAUAAUGACAAUAAACGCCGGUUGAUGGCGUUACGAAAAGUGCCUCUCUCUCAUUCUCUCUUUCAGUUGCUGGCUUUCCAGAUCAUUGCUAACUUUUUUCGGUUAGUCUCCAGUUAUCUUUAAGAUUACUGUCUAGACACUUUCUUUUAUCUCUUUCUUCUAUCUAUCUAUUUAUCUAUCUGCAAAUACUGUGUAUCCUAUCUCUAUAUCUUUCAUUCCUUUUCUCUCUUCGUCUUUUCAAAAUUGAAUAGUGUAUUUGAAAAGUCUUUUCUAAUUUAUCAAUUUCUGGAUUAUGUCAGAAUGAAGAUUCUCUAAAGAAUGAACUUGAUAUUUCUUCUUUAACGGAUAAAGAAAAGUUAUAAUGGCAAACUAUACAAAUGACACUGCAACAGAUAGUGGAUACAGACUGCAACAUUUAUUGGGUAUAUACUUAACGCCAGCAAUAUUCAUCACUUCCCUUAUAUCAAAUGUGGCACUAAUAGUAACAAUACGGAAUGCAGAGCUUUGUAAUAAAUCAACAGUGGUGUAUAUAAUUUCUCAAGCAGUUGCCGACGGAGUAUACUCUUGUCUUUCUUUGUUGACCUGGGCUGAAUUGUUCGGUAUAAGAUCCAAGUCAACUGAAUAUGGUUGCCUUCCUAUAACUUACGCAAUGAAUAUCUGUGGUUUCUUAACGGUUUGGUACGCUUCACUUAUGUGUUUUGACUAUAUCCUGUACUUUCGUAAUUGGAAAAUUGCAAUUAAACUUAGAACUAGAACAGCGGCUAGAUUAAUUGUCAUUUUGGUUGCUCUAUUCGCUGCGGCCAUUUACAUAAACACAACUUUAUUAAAUAAUGUUGAUACUGGAAAUACAAGUCAAUCAUUCUGCAGACCGAAUAACGAAGAAAUUUAUUGGGUAUUAGACUUUUUCGAUAUGAUAUUUAACGGUUUAAUAGCUACAAUGACUUUAAUUACUCUAUGUAUUUGCAUAAUUAAGGAAGUACGCAACUUUCAUAAGAGCAAGCCGGAGACAAAUGGUGAAGUUGGUAAAUUUAGUUCUCAAUUGACUCAUUGCGUUGUAGCUAUUGCUUCCGCACACGUUUUUACUAGCUUGCCAGUAAUAUUUCUGAGAAUUUUAGCUAGUGGUAUAAUACCACAGAAUUGGACUUUUAAUAAUAACUAUCCGUUUAUCAUUCUUCAUGUUCUAUAUCAAAUUCGUUUUACACUUAAUUAUUUCAUAAUGUUUACGCUAUCGCCAGAAUUUAGGAGGACUUUUUUCAACUCUAUACGAUCUAUGAAAAGUAGGCGAAGACCUCAAAUUCGAAUUCCAAAUCAAGCUGCUGAGAGUGAAAUGAUAGAGUUAAAAGGAUAAAAUAAACGUUUUUCUUUAAAGUUUGUUCAUUAGAUCAUUGGGAAAGUUAUCUCUUUAGACUUUAUAUAUUCGUUUUUCUUCACUGCUGUCCUCAAUUACAUAUAUACUGGAUAUGUACUGUAUAUAUGCGUAAUAUGCUUAGAUUUUAUUCUCUCUUUCAUAAUUUUCAUUAUUAAUCUCGUUAUUAUGUUUUUUACUUUUUUCUCUAUGGCUCUUUCUAUUUUCUUCUCUCUCUUUCUCUUUCCCUUUUUCUUUCUAGACUGC
rnacentral:misc_RNA from 1 species